rnacentral:rRNA from 1 species
AGUGAACGCUGGCGGUAGGCCUAACACAUGCAAGUCGAACGGCAGCACAGUAAGAGCUUGCUCUUACGGGUGGCGAGUGGCGGACGGGUGAGGAAUACAUCGGAAUCUACUUUUUCGUGGGGGAUAACGUAGGGAAACUUACGCUAAUACCGCAUACGACCUACGGGUGAAAGCAGGGGAUCUUCGGACCUUGCGCGAUUGAAUGAGCCGAUGUCGGAUUAGCUAGUUAACGGGGUAAAGGCCCACCAAGGCGACGAUCCGUAGCUGGUCUGAGAGGAUGAUCAGCCACACUGGAACUGAGACACGGUCCAGACUCCUACGGGAGGCAGCAGUGGGGAAUAUUGGACAAUGGGCGCAAGCCUGAUCCAGCCAUACCGCGUGGGUGAAGAAGGCCUUCGGGUUGUAAAGCCCUUUUGUUGGGAAAGAAAAGCAGCAGGUUAAUACCCCGCUGUUCUGACGGUACCCAAAGAAUAAGCACCGGCUAACUUCGUG